CAGUAUAUAGUUUAAGUAAAAUAUAAUAUUUGGGUUAUUAAGAUUAAUUACUGA
rnacentral:tRNA from 1 species